rnacentral:rRNA from 1 species
GUCAACGCGGUAAACGAUGGGCACUAGGUGUGGGGGGUAUCCACUCCUCCCGUGCCGAAGCUAACGCAUUAAGUGCCCCGCCUGGGGAGUACGGCCGCAAGGUUAAAACUCAAAGGAAUUGACGGGGGCCCGCACAAGCGGUGGAGCAUGUGGUUUAAUUCGACGCAACGCGAAGAACCUUACCUGGGCUUGACAUCCCUGGAACUCCCCGGAAACGGGGAGGUGCCCUCGAAAGAGGGAGCCAGGAGACAGGUGCUGCAUGGCUGUCGU